UAUUUUCUAAUUAAAGUCUGUCACUCAUUUCAUAAUCAGCAGCGCGUAGUCCAUGAUCUGUGUCAAGAGCAAAUAUUUGUUAGUGCAAUAAAGCGGCAAGAAAACACCUUCGAGUUGCAGCGGAGAAUAUUUACAGGUUGCAACCUCGACUCGUCAGAAGAACGAAAAUAUUUCAUAACAUUUGAUCCUGACUGCCACCAAAUAUACUCACUUUAUUUCUGACGGGAUAUUAGCACGUGAGCAGCGGAAUUGUCAUUUACAUUGAAACCGUCGGAAUAUCUCGUCUUGGUUAUCCAAGGACUUAUUGAAAUAUGGUUUUCAUACCGUGGUUAAACUCAAAUAAACAAUGCUUAACCGUGAACUUUUUCUUCGUUAAUAAAACAGAUUAUUAUUACAAUAUGUA